rnacentral:rRNA from 1 species
AGAGUUUGAUCCUGGCUCAGGAUGAACGCUGGCGGCGUGCCUAAUACAUGCAAGUCGAGCGAACCGACGAGGAGCUUGCUCCUUUGAGGUUAGCGGCGGACGGGUGAGUAACACGUGGGCAACCUGCCCUUAAGACUGGGAUAACAUCGAGAAAUCGGUGCUAAUACCGGAUAACUGAUUAGACCGCAUGGUCUAAUUAUGAAAGAUGGCUUCGGCUAUUACUUAAGGAUGGGCCCGCGGCGCAUUAGCUAGUUGGUGGGGUAACAGCCUACCAAGGCAACGAUGCGUAGCCGACCUGAGAGGGUGAUCGGCCACAUUGGGACUGAGACACGGCCCAAACUCCUACGGGAGGCAGCAGUAGGGAAUCUUCCGCAAUGGACGAAAGUCUGACGGAGCAACGCCGCGUGAGUGAUGAAGGUCUUCGGAUCGUAAAACUCUGUUGUUAGGGAAGAACAAGUAUCGUUCGAAUAGGGCGGUACCUUGACGGUACCUAACCAGAAAGCCACGGCUAACUACGUGCCAGCAGCCGCGGUAAUACGUAGGUGGCAAGCGUUAUCCGGAAUUAUUGGGCGUAAAGCGCGCGCAGGCGGUUUCUUAAGUCUGAUGUGAAAGCCCACGGCACAACCGUGGAGGGUCAUUGGAAACUGGGAAGCUUGAGUGCAGAAGAGGAGAGUGGAAUUCCAUGUGUAGCGGUGAAAUGCGUAGAGAUAUGGAGGAACACCAGUGGCGAAAGGCGACUCUCUGGUCUGCAACUGACGCUGAGGCGCGAAAGCGUGGGG